CAUUGUAAACUGUUAAUAAUUGAUGUAUCCUACAGAAAAAUCUAUAAAAGAAGAACAUUACCAAUAAACCUUGCCUUAACGCCAAGAGUUCCAGUCCUCCUUGCCCUUCUUUUAAUAGGUUUCGUAGGAUACUGUCUUCAGGUUCCAGUUUCCCACCGGGGGGACCCCAACAAGUGGUGCCUGGAACAGGGACUUAUACAUAUAGGGGCUCAGGUGGUAUCGACGGGACUAGUGGUUCCCACAGCUCCUCUGGAGGAUUUGAUUUCAUUCCAUGAUUCUCCGAAACCUUUAAAAUCAAGGGGUUCACAGAAGUGCUCUUCUAGCUCAUCAGAUUCCAAAAAUGCCGAUUCUGAUCUAGUUACUGAUCCUGAUUAUUCUUCUGAUAUUAUUAAGCUUAUGGCUUGUGGAGAACACUUUGAAAUAAGAUUGAAUUGUAUAACCCUAAGUGUGCUGUAACCCUAAAAGUGUGUUGUGACUUUAAGAGUGCUGUAACCUAUGUGUGAUGUAACCCUAAGAGUGAUGUAACCCCAAGUGGUAUGGAACUGAUAAGGGUGUAGCCCGAGCUGGAUGGGGUGUACCCCGAAUGGGCAGGGUGUGCCCCAAACUGGACAGUGUGAUAAGUCUGAACCAAAACCACAAAUGCCCAGUUAGAAUAGCAUGAAAGGAGCUGAAGACUCCAAGCAAGUCGUCGAUCCGUCCACCAACCAAGACAUCUGCACACCUGAUCCCGCUGGAAGGAGCAUCGCGGCCAACCAGACGAGACCAGAGGACGAGGCAAGCGGAGAGACGGAUAGCCUAGCACCGACUGGACGCCCUUCAUCUACGGAUCGGACCCUCUGACCCUACGGGAGGAAACGUCCGGCUCCCAUAAGGACUUGCGCAGUACAGGUACAGGGACGUGGUAAUUGGCAGACUUAAUAUUGUGUGAUAAUUGCAUUGAAGUGAAUUAUGAUAAUAUAAGAUAAGUGUGUGAACUGCCAUCCGAGUCCGAGUCCUCUUUACCCACGGUACCUGCUCGCGACACGGCCCGCUGAUAUUAU
rnacentral:lncRNA from 1 species